UAGCUACAGGCUUAACACAUGCAAGUCGAGGGGAAACGAUAUUGGAAGCUUGCUUCCGAUAGGCGUCGACCGGCGCACGGGUGAGUAACGCGUAUCCAACCUGCCCACCACUUGGGGAUAACCUUGCGAAAGUAAGACUAAUACCCAAUGAUAUCUCUAGAAGACAUCUGAAAGAGAUUAAAGAUUUAUCGGUGAUGGAUGGGGAUGCGUCUGAUUAGCUUGUUGGCGGGGUAACGGCCCACCAAGGCAACGAUCAGUAGGGGUUCUGAGAGGAAGGUCCCCCACAUUGGAACUGAGACACGGUCCAAACUCCUACGGGAGGCAGCAGUGAGGAAUAUUGGUCAAUGGACGAGAGUCUGAACCAGCCAAGUAGCGUGCAGGAAGACGGCCCUAUGGGUUGUAAACUGCUUUUAUAAGGGAAUAAAGUGAGUCUCGUGAGACUUUUUGCAUGUACCUUAUGAAUAAGGACCGGCUAAUUCCGUGCCAGCAGCCGCGGUAAUACGGAAGGUCCGGGCGUUAUCCGGAUUUAUUGGGUUUAAAGGGAGCGUAGGCCGGAGAUUAAGCGUGUUGUGAAAUGUAGACGCUCAACGUCUGCACUGCAGCGCGAACUGGUUUCCUUGAGUACGCACAAAGUGGGCGGAAUUCGUGGUGUAGCGGUGAAAUGCUUAGAUAUCACGAAGAACUCCGAUUGCGAAGGCAGCUCACUGGAGCGCAACUGACGCUGAAGCUCGAAAGUGCGGGUAUCGAACAGGAUUAGAUACCCUGGUAGUCCGCACGGUAAACGAUGGAUGCCCGCUGUUGGUCUGAAUAGGUCAGCGGCCAAGCGAAAGCAUUAAGCAUCCCACCUGGGGAGUACGCCGGCAACGGUGAAACUCAAAGGAAUUGACGGGGGCCCGCACAAGCGGAGGAACAUGUGGUUUAAUUCGAUGAUACGCGAGGAACCUUACCCGGGCUUGAAUUGCAGAGGAAGGAUUUGGAGACAAUGACGCCCUUCGGGGCCUCUGAGAAGGUGCUGCAUGGUUGUCGUCAGCUCGUGCCGUGAGGUGUCGGCUUAAGUGCCAUAACGAGCGCAACCCCUCUCCUUAGUUGCCAUCAGGUCAAGCUGGGCACUCUGGGGACACUGCCACCGUAAGGUGUGAGGAAGGUGGG
rnacentral:rRNA from 1 species